rnacentral:rRNA from 1 species
AAUCUGGCUCAGGACGAACGCUGGCGGCGUGCUUAACACAUGCAAGUCGAACGAGAAUCUGCUGAAGGAGGAUUCGUCCAACGGAAGCAGAGGAAAGUGGCGGACGGGUGAGUAACGCGUGAGGAACCUGCCUUGAAGAGGGGGACAACAGUUGGAAACGACUGCUAAUACCGCAUGACGCAUAGAGGUCGCAUGAUCUUUAUGCCAAAGAUUUAUCGCUUCAAGAUGGCCUCGCG